GAUGAACGCUGGCGGCGUGCCUAAUACAUGCAAGUCGAGCGAACAGACGAGGAGCUUGCUCCUCUGACGUUAGCGGCGGACGGGUGAGUAACACGUGGAUAACCUACCUAUAAGACUGGGAUAACUUCGGGAAACCGGAGCUAAUACCGGAUAAUAUAUUGAACCGCAUGGUUCAAUAGUGAAAGAGGGUUUUGCUGUCACUUAUAGAUGGAUCCGCGCCGGAUUAGCUAGUUGGUAAGGUAACGGCUUACCAAGGCAACGAUGCGUAGCCGACCUGAGAGGGUGAUCGGCCACACUGGAACUGAGACACGGUCCAGACUCCUACGGGAGGCAGCAGUAGGGAAUCUUCCGCAAUGGGCGAAAGCCUGACGGAGCAACGCCGCGUGUGUGAUGAAGGUCUUCGGAUCGUAAAACUCUGUUAUUAGGGAAGAACAAAUGUGUAAGUAACUAUGCACGUCUUGACGGUACCUAAUCAGAAAGCCCCGGCUAACUACGUG
rnacentral:rRNA from 1 species